rnacentral:tRNA from 1 species
GGAGAGGUACCCAAGUGGCUGAAGGGGCGGGAUUGCUAAUCCUGUAGGUCGGCGUUAAACCCGGCGCGGAGGUUCGAAUCCUCUCCUCUCCUCCA